CCGAGUCGUCGACAUGAGUUGUUGCUGGUCCUCACACAAGGGGGCAUGUGCACGCUCUGUUCACACAUCCACUCACACCUGUGCACGCUCUGUAGUUCUAUGGUCUGGGAGGCCCUGCCUCCCUUCUGUGGUUCUGCAUCUUUACACACACACUGUAAUAAAGUCUUAUGGAAUGUACAUCGCGUUUAACGCAAUACAAUA
rnacentral:misc_RNA from 1 species